rnacentral:rRNA from 1 species
AGAGUUUGAUCCUGGCUCAGGACGAACGCUGGCGGCGUGCCUAACACAUGCAAGUCGAGCGAGGGCAGGUUUCGGCCUGACCCGAGCGGCGGACGGGUGAGUAACACGUGAGUAAUCUGUCUCUGUGCGGGGGACAACCCGGGGAAACUCGGGCUAAUACCGCAUGGGCGGACUCCAGGCUCUGGAGACCGGGAAAGGUGGCCUCUUUACAAUGCUGCCGUGCAGAGAGGAGCUCGCGGGCUAUCAGCUAGUUGGCAGGGUAACGGCCUACCAAGGCGACGACGGCUAUGGGGUCUGAGAGGACGACCCCGCACAUUGGAACUGAGACACGGUCCAGACUCCUACGGGAGGCAGCAGUGGGGAAUAUUGGGCAAUGGCCGAAAGGCUGACCCAGCGACGCCGCGUGCGGGAGGAAGCCCUUCGGGGUGUAAACCGCUGUCAGGGGGGACGAAUGACUCUCUGGGGAAUACUCAGAGGGAGUGACGGUACCCCCAAAGGAAGCACCGGCUAACUCUGUGCCAGCAGCCGCGGUAAUACAGAGGGUGCAAGCGUUGUUCGGAAUCACUGGGCGUAAAGCGCGCGCAGGCGGAUGGUUGCGUCCGGAGUGAAAUUUCGCCGCUCAACGGCGAAGCUGCUUUGGAUACGGACCGUCUAGGGACCGGUAGAGGCUGGUAGAAUUGCAGGUGUAGCGGUGGAAUGCGUAGAGAUCUGCAAGAAUACCCGUGGCGAAGGCGGCCAGCUGGGCCGGAUCCGACGCUGAGGCGCGAAAGCGUGGGGAGCAAACAGGAUUAGAUACCCUGGUAGUCCACGCCGUAAACGAUGGGCACUAGGUGCCGGGGGGGAGCGACCCCCUCGGUGCCGCAGCUAACGCGAUAAGUGCCCCGCCUGGGGAGUACGGCCGCAAGGCUGAAACUCAAAUGAAUUGACGG